AUUAUAUACGAUAUCAUAUUUUUCGGCAUUUAUGUUUUAACAUAAUGAUUUAUAUAUGAUGUCAUAUUUUUCAGGAAGUCUGCUUUAUGAUGUUUGACAUGCCGUAAUUUUGUAAUUGUUAUGAUAGGAAUUGUAAGGAACCAAAGGAGAGAUUGUUUGAUGGAGAUGGUAUGUUUGGUUGUAUGCAGCAUGUUCAGUAUAGGAUGUAGAUGGAUUUGCUUUUUGGGAAGUUUUAGACUAUUAGGAUGAUUACACCUGCUGAUCUUGUGCUCAGCUGAGUUGUAUCAUCCUUAGUGUGAUACUGUGAUUUGUUGUCUCAGAGUCCAAGCUGCCCAUUUGCUUGGAAAAAAUUGAAAUAUUAUGUUUUCUGUUUUUCUUUGGGUUUAGAUUUCAAAGACCUUUUGACAUUAUUGCAUAGUCACAAAAUUUUCAUUGUAACUUAGUUGGAACCUCUAUGUUUAGUGGGAUUUUUGGUCGGUUUGGUUUUCUAUAGGUCCUUGAAUUUAGCAGUUGUUUCUGUAAGAAAAAAAAAUCAUUUAAGUGUUAGAAUGAUUUUUAAAUAAAUAGUUCGCUGUUAUUACUUAUUAGAUUUGUACUCCAGCGUAUCAUAUUGAAUGAAAGAGGUGUGAGCAGGAAUUUUUGCUCACCCUAUAUUUACGGCUGCACUGUAUGCAAUUUAAUAAAGAGAAAGCGCUGAAAGAUUUUUCCUUCAUUUUUCUGGUUUCUUUACUUUUGUUUUGACUGAGCUCAACACAACCAAGAAAUAUUCCAAACCCAAUUGCAUUAAUCAAUUCUACCAUCUUCAUUUUUGGCAUUGUGAGUUGGAGCUUUGUUUGAGAUGCUAUUUUCUAGAUGUUCAGCAUGUCAUAUGUUUGUCAUAGAGGUGUUAGAGAUAUGAUCGAGGAGUUCCUCCUCAAUUCGUCGUUUAGGGAGAGAAGCCGUUUUCUUUGGUGCACUAGUGUUUGUGCCACCCUUUGGGUGUUGCGGGUUGGGAGGAAUAGGAGGGCUUUUAGAGGAGUUGAGAGGGAGAGUGGUGAAAUCUGAUCUGUUGUUCGUUUUCAUGUUUCUCAUUAGGCUUUGAUUUCAAAGACUUUUUGUAAGUAUCCUUUAAACAUGAUUUUGUGUAGUUAGAUUCUCUUCUUGUAUAGAGGUCCCUGUUUUUGUUUAUCCGUGCUUUCUUUCAUUUUUUCUUCAAUGAAAGCUGUUGUUCUUAAUAAUAAUAAUAAUAAAAUUCGAAGGGAUUAUUUUCCUAAUCUAGGCCAUGGGGAUCGACCUUUUUAUUCACUUACAAAGGAGUAUAUGAAGCCCAAGGAUCUAUCUAAAAGCAGAAUUGCCUCAUGCCUAACUUAAAAAUUCAAAAAAUAUGUCUCUGUUUCUACUCAUAUCGAUCCAUGGUCUCCCUUUCACAACUCCUUUAGGUUUGUUCGUCAUCCAUGUCAUGGGGCUCCACACCACAAAUUGCUUAAACAACUCUUCUCCGCAGACUAUUUUCCUCCCAUAUAGUCUCCAAAGCUAUGGACAAAUUUCUUUGUUUCAGAGACUCAACCCUUAAUCCCCCAUAUUGUGUUGGGAGAGAGGACCGUCACCAUCUUUCCAAGCGAUGUCCAUGGGAGUUGUUUCCGCUGAUCCGCAUGGAAUCUCUUAUUUGCCUUUUCAGCUUCUCUAUUGCUUUUUAAGGGACUUUCAGCAAAGAGAAGAAAUAUAAUAGUGAUCCUACGAGGAUAGCAUGAGCGAGAGAAAAAUCUACCACCUUUUGUGAAAGUCAACCCUCCCAAACUGUCAAGUUUAGCUCUGAUCUUAUCCAUCAAGGAUCCAGAAGAAAAAUGGAUUUCCUAUUUCCACCCGGGAAAAACCCAAAUGAUAAUAAGAUACCUAGAGACAAGCCAACUUCCUGGAAGAAGAUGCUUAGUAUACCACCCAAUCUGAAGCUGGCCCGCACCUGAGCAGAAAAGGAGGUUGUCAUUUGGGUAUUGUAGGUAAGAGGCUUCAAUGGUGUCCCAUCCACCCUAAAUCCCCUCAGAAUAUUCCUGUCACAGCAGAAAUGAAUUUCAUUGCUGAAGAAAUCCCCAGUAUAAGUGUAAAGGAAAGGGGAUAGGGUAUCUGCGGCAGCUCGCCCACUUGCCUUCAAUUCAUCAGUUUGGCACUUAUGGGGGAGGUAGCUAGAGAUUUAGAUAGAAAAUUGCGUGUUUCCUUUAGGAUGGAAAUAAAGGAAGCAAAUGAAGUCAUCUUGUUAAAUGUUAAUCAAGAGAGAUCGAUUUCACUGCUUGAGAAAUCGACUUUUGGAAGUACAGGAAUUAAUAUGGAUGAUUCUCAAAUUACAAGGACCAAAAUGGUAUUGUAAAUUAGAUUUUUAUAUAAUUUCUUCACGUAUUGAAUUUUAUGUUUUACAUGCAAAACGAAGCAAGAAUCGAUGUUAUAAGUUUUGGAAAAUUGUCAAAGUAGCUUUGCCCUUGUUGUAAACUUGGUAUUAUAUUCUUCUUAAAAAUAUUAUAUAAUUUUUAUUAUUUACUCUUCAUUUUAUUUCAUGCCA